GUGGGUUACGGGGACAUGGUCCCAGUCACUAUCGGGGGCAAGAUUGUCGGAUCUCUGUGCGCGAUCGCUGGAGUCUUAACAAUUGCCCUCCCAGUGCCUGUCAUUGUAUCCAAC
rfam:Poecilia formosa, whole genome shotgun sequence.